AGGUCAGCCUGCCCAGUGAAAUAAUUUAACGGCCGCGGUAUAUUAACCGCGCAAAGGUAGCGCAAUCACUUGUUCCCUAAAUAGGGACCCGUAUGAAUGGCAUCACGAGGAUUUAACUGUCUCCCUCCCCCAAUCUGUGAAACUAAUCUCCCUGUGAAAAAGCAGGGAUAAACGUAUAAGACGAGAAGACCCUAUGGAACUUUAAACAAAUAGUAUUUGCUCCCUUCUCUUCCCCUUCCCGAAAACAAGCACUUCAUGAGCACACUAACUAAGAGUUUUCGGUUGGGGUGACCACGGAGAAAAACUUAUCCUCCACGUUGAAAAACCUAUAAUUCUAAACCACAAGACACAACUUUAAAGAUCAGUAAACUGACAUUAUUGACCCAAACUUUUGAUCAACGAACCAAGCUACCCUAGGGAUAACAGCGCAAUCUACUUCGAGAGCACAUAUCGACAAGUAGGCUUACGACCUCGAUGUUGGAUCAGGGUAACCUGGUGGUGCAGCCGCUACAAAAGGUUCGUUUGUUCAACGAUUAAACCCCU
rnacentral:rRNA from 1 species